ACAUCGGACAAUGCCGGAGGACAGAUAAAUUAAUGGCUACUGUAAAGUCAAGUGUCGCUCGAUCAGCUGAAAAAGGUUGGCUGCUAGUUAAAAUUGUCCUAGACCCAGUAGGAUUUGUUUAGUUUGUGUCGCCGAGUAAGUUUGCCGAACGCGAUUGAUCAAAAUAGGCUGAUAUACCUGACCUGCUUCUACCCAACUUGGAUGUAUUAUUUUGAGAAGCUACGACAGAGGAUACGGCUGCCUGCGGUAGGUUCGAGGCAAAUUCCUGUUAUUGAUAAUAAUAACAUCGGAAAGAGAUGAUCAAGGAACGCAGGUUUUCACCAGUGCCUCGGUUCGCUUGCUUACCGAUUGCACCUCAUUAUUAACGAACUUGCUGUAAUUAAACAACUCUCAAGGUCACCAUCGUUUUGAUCUAGUAAAUUGUGCUAUGAUAUUCACGAACGGCGUGACGCAUCAGGAGUUCUCGUCACACCAACAUGGCCAAUAGAUACCGUACGAUGCCGUUGGUGCUGCUGCUGCUGCUGCUGCUACGAGACGCGUUAUGGAACAGAGAAGUAACGUCGCGCCUGUGCUAGAUAGUAUUUUCAAGGGAAAAGCAAACGGGAAUUGUGGCGUAGACAACUGGUAUCUGCGUAAUCGAUUGAUGUAAACGUCGAUUAUUUACGUUAUAGUAUACAGAUCGGCUAUAGGGGAAGCGAAGCAAGUUGAAGUUGUCUUGUUUUAGUCGACUGCACCAUCGAUGAAGACACUUGCGAGAUGGGGGUAUGACAUCGAAUACAUGAAGCUUCUUUGUUUUUAACGAUAGGCCAGCAAACGACGAGCGAGCUAACGAUAAGGACCGAUUCGCGUACUGCUAAAAAUUGAAGCUGAUUCACGCAUCGAAUGAAUCUACCCAAGCGGAAUAGGGCCAUUAGAAUACUUCUGUUAUGGUACAAUCAGCCAAAAACCUUUAACACUACCGACUUUGCCCAAACUUAACUUUUAUCGAAGCUACUUCAUCCGUCGUUACAUCCGCGAAUAUCUACGUGGAGCCCUUCCGUAAAUUCAUGCCACUCUAUCUAAUACGGAUUUUGUCACUGGUCGAGCUCUUUGAUAUAAUUGAAGAUUUAUUCGGCGCCAUCAUUACCUAGCAAUCCUUCACAUAUAGAGAAAUGCGAGGCAGCCGCCAUAAUUGCCGUUAGUACAUCUUCGCCCAUGCCAAGU